rnacentral:rRNA from 1 species
AUUGAACGCUGGCGGCAGGCCUAACACAUGCAAGUCGAACGAGUGGCGGACGGGUGAGUUAUGUCUGGGAAACUGCCUGCUGGCGGGGGAUAACUUCUGGAAAUGGUAGCUAAUACCGCAUACCAUCCGAUGAUCCCAUAUGGGAUUAGCUCGUUGGUGGGGUAACGGCUCCCCAAGGCGGCGAUCCCUAGCUGGUCUGAGAGGAUGACCAGCCACACUGUAACUGAGACACGGUCCAGACGCCUACGGGAGGCAGCAGUGGGGAAUAUGGCACAAUGGGCGCAAGCCUGAUGCAGCCAUGCCGCGUGUAUGAAGAAGGCCGUCGGGUUGUAAAGUACUUUCAGCGGGGAGGCGUUACCCGCAGAAGAAGCACCGGCUAACUCCGUGCCAGCAGCCGCGGUAAUAC